GACGAACGCUGGCGGCGUGCCUAACACAUGCAAGUCGAACGCUGAAGGCGGAGCUUGCUUCUCUGGAUGAGUUGCGAACGGGUGAGUAACGCGUAGGUAACCUGCCUGUUAGCGGGGGAUACUAUUGGAAACGAUAGCUAAUACCCCAUAAUAGCAGUUAUUUCAUGAUAACUGUUUGAAAGGUUUAAUUGCACCACUACCAGCUGGACCUGCGUUGUCUUAGGUAGUUGGUGGGGUAACGGCUCACCAAGGCGACGAUACAGAGCCGACCUGAGAUGGUGAUCGGCCGGACUGGGACUGUGACCGGGCCCAGACUCCCAGGGGAGGCGGCAGUACUGAAACUUGGGCAAUGGGCGGAAGUCUGACCGAGCAGGGCCGCGUGCGGGAAGAAGGUUUUCGGGUCGUAGAGCACGGUUGUAGGGGUAGAACGAGUGUGCGAGUGGAAAGUUCACACUGUGACGGUAUCUUGCAAGAAAGGGACGGCUAACUACGUG
rnacentral:rRNA from 1 species